GGCUAACGCUGGCGGCGUGUCUUAGCCAUGCAAGUCGAGCGGACUUAUGGGGUAACUUAUAAGUCAGCGGCGGACGGCGGAGUAACACGUAGCUAACCUACCCUCUGGACGGGGAUAACCUACCGAAAGGUGGGCUAAUACCCGAUGUAGUCAUCCUGUAUAGGGGUGAUGAAAGGUGGGCUUCUGUUUACAAGCUCAUGCUGGAGGAGGGGGCUGCGGCCUAUCAGGUAGUUGGUAGGGUAAUAGCCUACCAAGCCGAUGACGGGUAGCCGGCCUGAGAGGGUGACCGGCCCGAGGGGCACUGAGAUACGGGUCCCACUCCUACGGGAGGCAGCAGGCUAGAAAUUUGGGCAAUGGGGGAAACCCUGACCCAGUGACGCCGCGUGCAGGAAGGAGCCCUUCGGGGUGUAAACUGCUGUCGUGUAGGGAGAAGGGUACUAAGGGUGAACAAUCUUAGUACUUGACGGUACUACAGGAGGAAGCCCCGUAAGGCGUAAACCCUCGUGGCCAGGUCAGCCGCGGUAAAGCUACGUAGA
rnacentral:rRNA from 1 species